CUCCCUUAGUACAACAAGUACAGGUGACUUCCAAUCACCUAAUCCUGGUAAAACCCCAGGAGAGAGUA
rnacentral:tRNA from 1 species